GGCCCGUUGGUCAAGCGGUUAAGACACCGCCCUUUCACGGCGGUAACAGGGGUUCAAGUCCCCUACGGGUCA
rfam:Desulfitibacter sp. BRH_c19 BRHa_1002623, whole genome shotgun sequence.